AUGGUAGAUAUUUAGAACUUUACCAAAAAAACAGCAUUUAAAUCAUUGUUUCCAAAUUAUAAGUUGACAGUUGUUAUCUAGAUGGAAUCUCUUACUGAGGAUCAGAAUUAUUAAAAAAAUCUUGAAAUUUGACUUUCAACAUGAAUUAGAGAUGACAUUGCAUUCCAUCAAUCACUUAUAUACAUGUUUAAGGUUUUUUUCAAUAAUUUUGCUUUCAUACUGACUUAAGUUAGCUUUUUUGUUUUUAUUCAUUAAAAGCAGGUAUAUUUUAGCAUAGUUAUUUACAAUGUUGGAAGUUUUCUCUGAAGAAAAUAUAAAAAAGUAGAAUUAUUAAUUAGUUCAGCUAAUUUUAAGGAUCAAAAUUUAUAAUUAUAAUGACAAACAUGAUUUAAUCCUUUUGUUGGAAAACCACCUUAAUUAUAGGUUAUAAAACUGCCAAUGGAGUACAAUUUAUAACCUGGGGCAAAAUAAUGUAAAUCUCCAUCUUAAUUAGACAAACAGUAAUUGAAAUAAAAACAAAGUAUGUGUCUUAUAUAGUGAUUAGAAGACUUUGAUCAUCUGAUUAGUAAAGACAAGAAGUUGGUUAAGAUUUUUUUAUUCUAUAAUAAAAUUAUAAACAGUAUAUAUUUAUAGUGUCAAUGAGGGAUACAUGUAUCUUUUUCUGAAAAGAAUUUCAAUGCAUAGGCAUUGGUUCAUUGUUAAAAGGAUUUUGUGUACUUAUUUUUUAUAUACAUGUAUAUCAUAACAUUAUAAGAAAUCAACUGUUUAUCUAUUCUAAGCUUAAAUCUUAUUGAAAAUUAUGCUUUUAGGAAAUUUAAUACAAAUAAGCUUACUACUUUAAGGAAGUACAGAACUUAACUUAAGACACAUUUCUUAUUUUAAAUCUAUUUUCUUAUUUUAAUAUAAAAGGUGUUGACUUAUUGACAAGCACAUAAAUCCAUUUGUUUCAAAAGCUAGAUAUAAAGUAAAUUAUGGUAGGGGAUCUGGUUGAUCAUAAUGCAGCUUGAGACAAUAGAUAGAAAUAUAAAGGCAGUUGAUAAACUCUUAAGUCAUAUCAGUACUUCAAAGUGAUGAAUACAUACACAUGUUUUCAUUUAAAAUAGGUUAUAUUUCAUCAAACUAUUUUACUAAAGUAAUCGAAAUGUAAUCGAAAGUAAUCGAUGAUUACAUCAUGAUUUUUGCUGUAAUAGAUUAAAUUACGAUUACAUGUAAUCGAAAAUGUCUUCAAUUACAGAUUACUGUCGAUUACUGGAAAAAAUGUAAUCAAUUACAAUCCAUUACAGAUUACGAUUACCCCAUCCCUGGUAGAUGAUUGGUAUUUCUGGGAAUGUAGCUUUUUCUUCUUUCCUUUUCUUUUAAAAUUUAAUAAUUAAGUAGUUUUAGAAUUUCACUGAUUUUAUAAUUAUUAUACGACCGCAAAAAAAUUUUGUGGUCGUAUAUUGGUAUGACGUUGGCGUCGUCGUCGUCGUCGUCGUCGUCCGGCGUCGUCGUCCGAAUACACAUUGGUUUUCGCACUCUAACUUUAGUUUAAGUGAAUGGAUCUCUAUGAAAUUUUACCAUAAGGUUCAAUACCUCAAAAGGAAGGUGGGGAUUGAUUUUGGGGGUUAUGGUACCAACAGUUAAGGAAUUAGGGGCCAAAAAGGGGCCAAAAAUAAGCAUUUUUGUAACUUCCAGACAUAACUUGUGUGUUAGUGUAUGGAUCUCUCUGAUAUUGUACCACAAGGUUCCAUAUCACAAAGGGAAUGCUGGGAUUGAUUUCGGGGGUAAUUGCCUCCAAAUUUUAGGAAUUAGGGGCCAAAAAGGGGCAAAAAACAAGCAUUUUUCUAGUUUCAUGACAAUAACUUGUGUGUAAGUGUAUGGAUCUUUAUGAAAUUGUACUACAAGGUUCCAUAUCACAAAGGGAAAGCUGGAAUUGAUUUUGGGGGUAAUUUCCCACAACGUUCAGGAAUAAGGGGCCAAAAAGGGGCCAACAAUAAGCAUUUUUCUAGUUUCCAGACAAUAACUUGUUCAAGUGUAUGGAUCUCUCCGAAAUUGUACUGCAAGGUACCAUACCACAAAGGAAAGGCUGGGAUUGAUUUUGGGGUUAAAUCCCUAGAAAUUUGAGGAAUUAGGGGCCAUAAUGGGGCAAAAAACAAGCAUUUUUCUAGUUUCAGGACAAUAACUUGUGUGCAAGUGUAUGGAUCUUUAUGAAAUUGUACUGCAAGGUUCCAUAUCACAAAGGGAAAGCUGGGUUUGAGUUUGGGGGUAAUUGCCGUAAAUGUUUAGGAAUUUUGGGCCAAAAAGGGGCCAAAAAAUAAGCAUUUUUCUAGUUUCCAGACAAUAACUUUUGUUCAAGUGUAUUGAUCUCCCUGAAAUUGUACAGUAAUCAUACAUGUGAACCUCCCGAAGGGAAUACAAUAACCCCGUUUUCAGGGGUCUCCUCCCGACCUCCCGUUGAAGACAAAAAAAUCCUGUGUAUGAAAUAUUUCAUGAAUGAAAAAUUUCAGCCCAACAUAUCUGGUGUAACUGACAUUACCUGAAGUUAUAUUUUACCUGUAAAUCAAUUAACAUGAUAAUUAUAUGGCUUCACUUGUCACCUUGGGUGUCAAACAUACUGGUAAUCAACGAUUUUUACAUCAGGCUAACUGCCGUUGUGUAAUAAAACUUUGUAUAUUUAUAAAUGAAUGUUGGGUUACUUCCCUUGAUUUAUCCUGUUUUAAGUUACUUUCCUUUAAAUAAUGUAAAUUUUUAAAAGAAUAUAAAUAAAAUAUAAAUUGAACAAAUAAUCAUAAAAGGAUAGUAAUUAAAUGAUUUUAAAUGUCUUAGGACAAAUAAAAAAAUAAUAAUUUGAAAAUUAUUUGAGGGUUCUAUACUUCCUUUCAAGGCUUAAAUUGAAAUUUAUAUAUUAACUAUGACCCAUGAACACAGUUUGAAUGUGUUACUUAUCAUGCAUUAAAAAUCUACUUGCAUAAAGAUUAAAAUAAAAGAUCUACUUGCAGAUAGAUAAGCAAAUAUUCUGAUUGCAAUGAAUAAUGGAAAAAAAGAUAUGACCUAAAAAAUUUAAAGAACAUACUUAAAAAGAAGAAUGUUAGAUUGAACAAGUUGAAAGUUUAAAAAGAUAGAGAAAAUUUAUAAGUACAAGGGUACUAUAAACAUAAUACAUUCGGAUGGAAAGUUGAAGAAAGCACACUUUAACAGACAAUUUCUACAGCACACGGUUACAUUUAUGACAGAAUUUAUGUCGAUUAAAAACCUCCUGAUCUGAGUCCUAAUCUCCUGACCAAAAUUUCCCAAACUCCUGAUCUUAGUUUCACAGUCCAUCAUAUGUACUGCAAGGUACCAUACCACAAAGGGAAGGCUGGGAUUGUGUUUGAGGGUGAUGAAUCAUAAGGAGGUUCAAAAAAUUUUGGGGGGAGGGGGAUUUUUUUUUCCUUUUUUUUCUUUGAAAUUUUCCAUUUUAAAUUGGUUAUUUCUGAUUUAUAUAUAAAAGCAAAUAAUAAUGAUAUGGUUUGAAUAGAUAAAUUAAAAAUUUUUAAGUUCUUAGACCACAUUCAUUCUGUGUCAGAAACCUAUGCUGUGUCAAAUAUUUAAUUACAAUCCAAAUUCAGUGCUGUAUCAAGCUUGAAUGUUGUGUCCAUACUUGCCCCAACUGUUCAGGGUUCGACCUCUGCGGUCGUAUCAAGCUGCGCCCCAGCGAAGCAUUUUAUUAUUGGUUAAGUUUUGAUCUGAUACUUAUUAAUAUGGCAAAGCUAGUUAUCAAAAAUUUAUAGUGCAAACAUACUGUACUUAUAAAAGCAUAACUUUGUAAUAUUUUGUACAUAAAAUAUUUAUGUAUAAUAAAAGUAAUAUCUAUAA